ensembl:snoRNA
CAUCUCCUAUCAGUCAGGGAUGAAGCAAUCCCUUGUUCAUCCCCAGCUUGGCUUUUGAUCUAUGCCUGGUUCAUGCCUUGGACACACGG